UCGCCUGUUUAUCAAAAACAUUUCCUUGCGUGUGUAAGGUAGGUCCUGCUCAAUGAUAUUAAAUAGCCGCGGUAUUUUGACUGUGCUAAGGUAGCGUAAUCAUUAGUCUUUUAAUUAAGGUCUUGUAUGAAGGGGUUAACGAUAUUAAGUUGGUAAUAUGACAAUUGAUUGAAGUUUUAGUUUAGGUGAAAAUACUUAAUUAAUUAUAAAGACGGAAAGACCCUAGAAGUUUUAUAAUUGUUAUUUUAUUGGGGUAAUAGGUCAAGCAUAGGUUUGAGUAAAGUAGUGAAAUUACUCUAGGGAUAACAGGACAAUUUAAAAGGUUAGUUCAUAUAUAUUUUUAAGUUUGUUACCUCGAUGUUGGAUCAGCUUAUAUUAUCUUGUUAGAGGUUUUUGGGUCUGUUCGACCUUAAUAAGCUACGUGAUCUGAGUUCAAACCCGGAGA
rnacentral:rRNA from 1 species